ACGAAUUGAUCGUAAUCUGAGAAAUCGGAAUGUUUCACUUCUAUCGUAGACACCAUAGAACACUAUACAUAGUGUUCUGUGAUAGACAGCACAAAUCGAAAUGUGUAUUGGAAUGGAUCUUUAUUUCGAUUUGACGCUUUUGAAUCUUGGUAGAGUUGAUAAGAGAUAGCAUUGUAUGCGUUAAGCAAUUCUCACCCGCCAAUUUCAAUGUCCAUGAAAAUGGAAUAUUUAAACAAGAGGAAAGUGUCUCCUGAACAACUCUCCAUUUUGGUGAAAGCUCUAUCAGAAAAUAAGGUAUUGGUGCAUUGUAAAAACAGACCGUCGGAAGCUGAAAAGGAGCUCGCAGAAAAUUUGUGGGAGGAUUUAACUAAAAAGUUAAAUUCGAUUGGCAAUGGACCUUCGAAAACGCCAUCCCAAUGGAAAAAGACAUUAAUUGACUGGAAGUGUAAUACAAAAAAAAAAGCUAGGGAACUUAAAGAACAGCAAAAAACAGGAGGAGGAACUACUGUAACCAGAGGGUUGACUGCAAAUGAGAAAAAACUGAUGUCUCUAUCAACUGGGAUCUCUGUGGAAGGAGAAGACGCUGAGGAAGUAGGAUUAGGAUACGAAACUGUUGAUGUUAUAUUUGAGAUUUCUGAUGUGGUCACUGAAAUGCCCAAAGAUCAACAGUCUUCGAAAAGGUCUAAGAGUUGUAGUCCUCCUGUUCAUAGAAAAAAAAUAUAUUCAGAUACUGAAACUGAGAAAGAAACAGGUGAAGCAAGUAAUUUGCAGAAUGCAGAUAUGGGUUUCAAAAUUGCCAAUAAAUAUAUGCACGAAAGCAUAGAACAAAUAUUACAGACCAAUUGUUCAGAGGCUAUGAUUGAAUUAAAAAAAAAAGAAUUAGAACUAAAGGAAGUUGAAUUGAAAAUACGUCUCCUAGAAGCUACCAAUAAAACAAAAGAAUUGGAACUUGAAGAAAAGAAAUUGAAUCUAGAGGAGGCCAAGUUUAUGUACGAACAAAAGACUAGAACGAAAGAAUGAUUACACCAUUAUAGAGAAGUAAAAAGAAAUAUAUGAAUCAGUUAAAAAAUGAAUUCUUCCUGAUAUAUUUUCAAUAUAUCCUGUAGUGUUUUUGGAAACUUAAUAUAGCUUCCACUCGAAUGCUGUGCCACAGCUCUGCUCACUUGCUCAAACUCCUAAUGACCAUCGUUUGACUGAGACUCGAAAAAAAUCUUGAAGAACACUUUUUUAAAACUCCCUUGAGCAAAAAAAUAAAGGACAUACAAAACCUAAAAUAGUGAAAUUCAAAUAAAGAAACUAAUUUUAAUUCUUCUGUACCUAUCUUCACAUGAAUUGGGAUGUGUAUUAAAUCUUAUAUUUUAUGGGAACAACUCAGUUGAUUUGUAGAUUCCAUGUAAUUGUAAAUAAAUGUCUUCUUAUCA